ensembl:lncRNA
AUGGAAGGUGCUGGUCCAUUCCACUGUGAGGAACCACCGAAUGAUCACGGAAUUAGCAAGAACUUCCCAUUCCACCGUGAGGAACCACCGAACGAUCACGGAAUUAUGAAGAACUUCCCAUUCCACCGUGAGGAACCACUGAAUGAUCACGGAAUUAUCAAGAACUUCCCAUUCCACCGUGAGGAACCACUGAAUGAUCACGGAAUUAUCAAGAACUUCCCAUUCCACUGUGAGGAACCAACGAAUGAUCAUGGAAUUACCAAGAAUUUUGCCAUCUAGUUAGAGAUGAGAUGCUUAUCCCCGUAAAGCUGAAUUUGCAACACAAACCCCCAAAAUAGUAAAGAUGCUAGAAGUACUUUCCUGACAAUAUCUCAGAGCCAUAUACACAGUAAAUGUUGUCCACCCCAAGGGACUGCUCAGGGUGGAAUUAUCUGCGAAGUCUGGAGGACAAUCUGAGAUUUUAAGGAUGGACAAGUUCCAGAUAGGUAGAAAGAUCAGAGAGAGCAAUGGGUUAUUCAACAAAUAUUUAUUACAUGCUUAAUCACAGUCAGGCUCUGUGCUGAGGGUUGGAGACACUGGGAUGGACUAGACAGUCCCUUCAAUGAGUCUGUCAUCUACAGAGGGAUAAACAAGAAACUAGGGAGUAGUGGAAGGCAUCAAGAUGGGAAAACGAGAAGCUGUUUCUGGGAAAAUGCAGCCUUUGUUUUCUUUAUCACAAGAAGUCUGGCUAAGAGACCUACCAUCUGGAAACGAAGGCAGCCCUUGUGGGUUACUCUGGCAUUGAGAAAAUGUGUCCUCUUCAAGCCUCACAGACGUGACAGUCCUCCUAUGGGAUAGAGAAGGGGCAGGCUGCUCUUGGGUUACCUCCUACGUACAGCACUCUUCAAAAGACCCUGCAAAAUGCUACUACUUUCUGGAGACCGCUGGCUGAGGGCAGAAACUCUUGCCUCUCUCAUCAGACAAGGUGGGGGAAAAAAGAGGCUGAAACCUAGAGGGGAAGAAUGGAGCUUGCAGAUAGACAAAGGGUGCCAUGCAAGCAUGCUAUAAUCGCUCAUGGAACAAACCUCAGCUUUGCUUAGUAUUCUCUGAUUAAAUAGAGAGAGUCUGCAGAGGAGAGAUAAUAACAUAUGGUUGAUUAUACAGGCAUUUUUUUGUUUUUACUUACUUUACUUUUUUUCUUUUUUGAAACAGAGUUUCGCUCUUGUUACCCAGGCUGGAGUGCAAUGGCGCGAUCUCGGCUCACCGCAACCUCCGCCUCCUGGGUUCAGGCAAUUCUCCUGCCUCAGCCUCCUGAGUAGCUGGGAUUACAGGCACGCGCCACCAUGCCCAGCUAAUUUUUUGUAUUUUUAGUAGAGACGGGGUUUCACCAUGUUGACCAGGAUGGUCUCGAUCUCUUGACCUCGUGAUCCACCCGCCUCGGCCUCCCAAAGUGCUGGGAUUAUAGGCGUGAGCCACCGCGCCCGGCCCAGUUUUUUUUUUUUAAUGGCAUGAACUGUUGGUUUACUCUAACAGUAUUGAAAAUGAAUGUUCGCUUGCUCUAUAGUCUAAUGCUGAGAAAGUACUCUCAUUUUCAAUAAUCCAAGUUUUAAUGACUCCACAGGGAUUAGUGAACAAUAACAACAACAACAGAAACUUUAGCUAAUGUCGCCUAAUAAGAGCAUCAGCCAGUCCUCUGCUAGGAAGGUCUGACGUUUCCCUCACAUCUGAUUACCUUCUUGCUUUCAGUGCAGACUUUCUGAGCAUUUAGAAUAUAAAUUUCUGGGCUGUUAAAAUGACGGCCACUUCAUUCACUAGCAAAACAGACCCUUCUUUGAUACAAAGUCUCUACUUUUUUCUGGCAGGCUCCAGGGAGAUCAUUCCCAGAAGACUCAUGUCAGAGCAGCUUUAAGAGAAAGCAAUCUGAACUUUAUUUCAUAUAAGUUUGGGGAAUAGGAAGGACAAUGAGACAGAUGCACUUGUUUAUUUCACUGUCUUUGCAUAGUGAAUCAGUUCCUUAUCCCUGCUGUCCCUUCAAGCCCCAUAAAUCCCUACAAGGGGGUAGUGGGAUCAAAUCACACAUCCAAAUUAUUUGCAAAGAUGUCAACCAAUUCUAACUUCUUUAAUACAGCCACCUCCUAAAGGAGAGAGAAAUCUUCCACAUCGAAGAGAGCUUUCCCCUUUACAAAUUGCAGCUGGGACAGAUGUGCUGUUAUUUAAGCUUUGGAGCUGUGUAAAGUUUUGUUAGGCAAAUCAGUGACCAAACCAUCUCUCCUAGCCCAAAAUCUAUUGUAUACAAAAUCUUAUUUGUAUAUAAAAAAUUUUCUAGGACUUGAAGAAUGGACUCUUUUUUUUUUUUGAGACAGAGUUUCGCUGUUGUUAUCCAGGCUGGAGUGCAAUGGCACGAUCUCGGCUCACCGCAACCUCUGCCUUCUGGGUUCAAGCAGUUCUCCUGCCUCAGCCUCCUGAGUAGCUGGGACUACAGGCACACACCACCAUGCCCAGCUAAUUUUUGUAUUUUUAGUAGAGACGGGGUUUCACCUUGUUGACCAGGAUAGUCUCGAUCUCUUGACCUCGUG